rnacentral:rRNA from 1 species
ACCUGCGGAGGGAUCAUUACAGAGUUAUCCAACUCCCAAACCCAUGUGAACUUAUCUCUUUGUUGCCUCGGCGCAAGCUACCCGGGACCUCGCGCCCCGGGCGGCCCGCCGGCGGACAAACCAAAACUCUUGUUAUCUUAGUUGAUUAUCUGAGUGUCUUAUUUAAUAAGUCAAAACUUUCAACAACGGAUCUCUUGGUUCUGGCAUCGAUGAAGAACGCAGCGAAAUGCGAUAAGUAAUGUGAAUUGCAGAAUUCAGUGAAUCAUCGAAUCUUUGAACGCACAUUGCGCCCAUUAGUAUUCUAGUGGGCAUGCCUGUUCGAGCGUCAUUUCAACCCCUAAGCACAGCUUAUUGUUGGGAACCUACGGCUUCGUAGUUCCUCAAAGACAUUGGCGGAGUGGCAGUGGUCCUCUGAGCGUAGUAAUCUUUUAUCUCGCUUCUGUUAGGUGCUGCCCCCCCGGCCGUAAAACCCCCAAUUUUUUCUGGUUGACCUCGGAUCAGGUAGGAAUACCCGCUGAACUUAAGCA